GACGAACGCUGGCGGCGUGCUUAACACAUGCAAGUCGAACGAUGAAGCCUAGCUUGCUAGGUGGAUUAGUGGCGAACGGGUGAGUAAUACGUGAGUAACCUACCUUUAACUCUGGGAUAAGCCUGGGAAACUGGGUCUAAUACCGGAUACGACCAAUCUCCGCAUGGGGUGUUGGUGGAAAGCGUUAUGUAGUGGUUAUAGAUGGGCUCACGGCCUAUCAGCUUGUUGGUGAGGUAACGGCUCACCAAGGCGACGACGGGUAGCCGGCCUGAGAGGGUGAACGGCCACACUGGGACUGAGACACGGCGCAGACUCCUACGGGAGGCAGCAGUGGGGAAUAUUGCACAAUGGGCGCAAGCCUGAUGCAGCGACGCCGCGUGAGGGAUGACGGCCUUCGGGUUGUAAACCGCUGUUAGCAGGGAAGAAGAGAAAUUGACGGUACCUGCAGAGAAAGCGCCGGCUAACUACGUG
rnacentral:rRNA from 1 species